UCCCUCCAUCCAACCGUCGGCGCUCGCAGGGCGUUGAGAGUGCUUCACACAAACGGAGAGAAAUGGUUGAUAUUAGUAUAGUCAUGGUUAAUAUAAACCUUAAAUACCUUUUUAAAGAUUAGAAGCUGAGCUGGGAACGGGGCAAUCAGGCAGCCUCGAGGGGGGACUGCAGGGAGCAGGGGAGAGGCUUAGAGAGUUCUGAAUGCCACACGCGAGGCACUUUUCUCAGGGGGCUCUUAAGCCCUAACACCUUUAUAAUUUCCCCUUAAGAUGCUAAUGAUCUAUUAAUCACUGUUUCUGGCUGACUUCCCUUUACACCAGUGCCUUCAGAAGCUCCCCUACCGAGUGGGCCUGUCUUAGGGAGGAAUUACUUCCUACAGCUAAUCCAGAGUUCCCGCCCCCUGCAACAAAACCCACAGCAGCUUCUCCUCCGGUAAAGCCGGGAUCUGAGCAGACAGUCACUCCUGUGGGCAGCGCUGGCUGGAAAGGACACUGGAGCAGGCCGCGCCUGGGCCUUGGAGACACGCACAGGACCCUGGAGGAGGCCACACCUGGGCCUCGGGAACGCGCACAGGACCCCGGAGGAGGCCACACCUGGGCCUCGGGAACAGGCACCAGCAGAGGCAGGACUGGAAAGGACAGGAGAGGCUGGGCCCACAUUUAAUCUCUGUUCCCUCUCCCUCCACAGUGGUGCCUUUAUUUCUAGAAGCAACGAAGGAAACACAGUAGACUCAGAGCCAGAAGAGGAAGAGGAGGCCAGCUCCCACUGCUGCAGCACUCAGCUGGGGUCAGCGGGGCUGUGGCGUUGCACCACUCCAUGAAGGGCCUGGUGUCCCUUGACUUGGACACCCUCGACCCUGCCAGGCUCGGCCCCACAGCCUUGCUCAAUCCCCUCAGCACCCUCGUCUCCAGCAGACGGGUAUCCUGGACAUGUCUCACCUGAUUUGACACAAGACCACCAAGACAAGGGGCAGGUGGGUGCAGUGGCUCACAUCUAUAAUCCCAGCACUUUGGGAGGCUGAAGCAGGAAGAUUGCUUGAGCCCAGGGGUUGGAGAUCACCCUGGGCAACAUGGUAAAACCCGUCUCUACAAAAAAUACAAAAAUUAGCCAGGUGUGGUGGUGCAUGCCUGUGGUCUCAGCUACUCAGGAGGCUGAGGUGGGAGGACCGCUGGAGCCAGGGAAGUCGAGGCUGCAGUGAGCUGUGUUUGCUCCACUGCACUCCAGCCAGGGAGAUAAAGCAAGACCCUGUUUCAAAAAAAAAAAAAAAAAAGUAAAGAAGGCCAGGCACAGUGGCUCACACCGGUAAUCCCAACACUUUGGGCGGCUGAGACAGGCAGACCCCUUGAGUUCAGGAGUUAGAGACAAGCCUGGCCAACAUGGUGAAACCCCAUCUCUACUAAAAAUACAAAAAUUAGCCAGGCGUGUUGGCUCAUGCCUGUAGUUCCAGCUACUCGAGAGGCUUAGACAGAAGAAUCGCUUGAACCCGGAAGGCAGAGGUUGUAGUGUGCAGAGACUGAGCCAUUGCACUCCAGGCUGGGCAACAGAGUGAGACUGUCUCAAAAAAAAAAAAAAAAAAAUAGAAAAGGGGCAGCUUCCUCUGAAGCCAGCUCUGCAGACUGGCAGCUGCCUGACACCUCAGCCGGGCCAUUUCCUGAACGGCUAGGCAGGGGCACGUUGGGCUUUAACUGCCCUCAGCCCCACCCCAACCAGGGCUCGCUGCACCAGAAGCUUCCUAGAAAACCACAUCUUUUCUGCUAAGAAUCAGAAAAGUCGUGAUAUUCUCAGACAUCAGCCAACUACAGACUGGCCUGCAGAAGGAAGGAAAGUAGAAGGAGGAAGUCAAGUGAUGCUGGGGCAAGGCAGCGUGGCCGGGCACCGCGGUCGGAACUCUCGUGCUGGUUUGCAGCUCAGAAGCGGUCCGCAGCCCCUGCCGUCCAGCCCUAACCCUGACCUCUUUAGGCCUCAGUUUCCCCACCUAGACAAGGAUGAUGGUCCAUGAGUCUGCUAUUUUUCAUUGAGCAACCUUGUACUCAGUGCCUGUUCGGAAUGAGAAUAGCAAUGUCUACAGUUCCAAUGCUUUCGCCACACCUUACUCAUGUCUUGUAUUUAAAUCCGGUCUGAUGAUUUACAUAAUGCUUCACCCACGAGAAUUCCUUCAGCAGGGAAUGAGGGUGUCAUGGAGACGCCGCCUCGGGCCUCGGUAACCACUAGGGAAGAAACGCCAGGGACACCUGGUCCUGACUUGGGAUCUGGUGCUCCAGGCUCUAGCUCUGUCCAUAGCCCAAGGGUGCUGAGCCCCAAGUGGUCACACCUGCAAUGUCACUGAGCUUGGGUAGUGGUCCAUCCAGGGCCAGCCAGCCCAACGUAGCAGGGGCCCGCCUUCCCCAGGGACACCGUGUGGCCCAGGAGCCACAGCAGAGGAAGCUGAGCAGGGCGGCAGAGGAAGCUGAGCAGGGUGGCAGCUCCCUGGGAGGCCACACCUGUACCCCAGGGGUUCUUGGACAAUUGGGGGCAGGGCUCAAGAGGGAGAUCAGAUAUCCCCCUAACAAAGAGAGUGGGGGCUGGAGCGGUGAAUUUGGACACUGAAAGAGGAGUGACUGUAUUUGUACCCUGAGUGUGUGCGCCAGUCCUUGAGGGCAUUACAUUUUACAUUACGUUUGUAAUCAGAAAAGUAGACUUUCAAAAGAAGACAUCAUCUAAGUUACUUGUUAGGAGUGGCAGAUUCAUCUCCCCGGAGCUGGUGACAGUAGGGAGGCAUUUGAAAAGGUGCCUGGACAGCACAGGCCUUGAGGGAGGACAGGUCCUCCAUGCCCAGAAUGCAACUGGCUGGCUAAGGUGCCUUCGAGGUUCCCCAGGCUGCCUGUGUAGAGAAAGCAGCAGCUGGCCCAGCAGCCCAGCUGCAAAGGGCCCUCACCAUGCACCAGUUAGUUACUCAUUCAUUCAUUUAGAUGAGGUCUCGCUCUGUCAUCCAGGCUCAAUCAUAGCUGGGUGGGGCAAUCAUAGCUCACUGCAGCCUCAACUUCCUGGCCUCAAUUGAUCCUCCCAUCUCAGCCUCCUGCCUCUGUGCACCUGUCCCGAGGCCCCAACCUGCAGUCCUGAGACUACAGAUGCAUCUGGCCCCCGGACCUGCACUGUGUGGAUGUGGCUUCUGUCAGUUCACUGCCUCAGGAGCAAGAGUAGGAAUGGGAGGUCCUCCCAAGAUGGAAGUUCACUGUUCUGUGAAACAUGAACCCCCCGGACCUCCGUCGCCAGAGUGGUCCAGCAGGGUGCACAGGGGCUCCGGCCCCAAGCCGGCCUGCUUCUGAUGGAGGGGUUUACACCGGAGCGAGGAGCUGCCCACCCGAGUCUCAGGCUCCUCAUUCAUCAACUGUGGAUGUUGUUAGUUUAAGAAUAUAAAGUGCUGCCGGGCACGGUGGCACCUACAGUCCCAGCUACUUGCGACGCUGGGGCAGGAAGAUCACUGGAGCCCAGGUGUUCAAGUCCAGCCUAUGAGACAGAGUGAGACCCCAUCUGAUUGACUGAUUGAUUGGUUAAUUGAUUAAUUGAUUGGUUGAGACAGGAUCUCACUCUGUUACCCAGCCUGAAGUGCAGUGGUGCGAUCUCAGCUCACUGCACCCUUGGCCUCCUGGAUUCAAACAAUUCUCUCACCCUGCCUCCUGAGUAGCUGGGACUACAGGUGCCUGCCACCACACCAAGCUAAUUUUUUUAUUUUUUGUAGAGACAGGGUUUCCCUAUGUUGCCAUGGCUGGUCUCGGACUGCUGGGCUUAAGUGAUCCUCCCAUCUCAGCCUCCCAAAGUUCUGGGAUUACAGGCAUGAGCCACCGUAGUGAGGGUAGCAGUGGUGGUAGUAACAGUAGGUAGUGAUGGUAGUGAUGUUAGUGAUGGUAGGUAGUAAUGAUAGUGAUGGUAGGUAGUGAUGGUAGGUAAUGAUGGUAGUGAUAGUAGGUAGUGAUGGUAGUGAUGGUAGGUAGGGAUGGUAGUGAUAGUAGGUAGGGAUGGUAGUGAUAGUAGUGAUGGUAGGUAAUGAUGAUGGUAGUGAUGGUAGGUUGGGAUGGUAGUGAUGGUAGGGAUGGUAGGGAUGGUAGUGAUAGUAGGUAGGGAUGGUAGUGAUGGUAGGUAGUGAUGGUAGUGAUGGUAGGUAGUGAUGGGUAGUGAUAGUAGGUAGGGAUGGUAGUGAUAGUAGUGAUGGUAGGUAGUGAUGAUGGUAGUGAUGGUAGGUAGGGAUGGUAGUGAUGGUAGUGAUGGUAGGUGGGGAUGGUAGUGAUGGUAGGUAGUGAUGAUGGUAGUGAUAGUAGGUAGUAAUGGUAGUGAUGGUAGGUAGUGAUGAUGGUAGUGAUAGUAGGUAGUAAUAGUAGUGAUGGUAGGUUGUGAUGGUAGUGAUGGUAGGUAGUGAUGGGUAGUGAUGGUUGUGAUAGUAGUGAUGGUAGGUAGUGAUGGGUAGUGAUGGUAGGUAGUGAUAGUAAGUAGCGGUGGUAGCAUGGGGAUGCUGCCGUGAAGCAGAGGAGGCUUCACAAUUCUGAUUGUGAAGGCUUCAGAACUCUGAUCUUCUCAAUUCAGGUGGAAACGUGUCUUUAGGAUAGAAAACAAGUAAACUGCAGGAUUCCCUUCAAGGUCUAGUUCUUCCCUGUCCCUACUUUGGGACACUGCUGAACAGGCUCCAUCUGAGUUCAAGAAUCUGGGUGUAUCUGUGCAGGCCAACAAGCCAAUACAGCAGGCAUUUGAAAGACACACAUACACGCAGGCCAUGCUUUUAGUCAUGCAAACACACAGUGUCUAUAUAUCUAUGUGCACAGAUUUCUGGGCAUGAAUAUAUGUGUUCCAAGCCCCAGUGUACCUACAAGUUUUGAUAUAAACCUACACACAGACGUGCAGCAUAUGUACACAGAUAAUACUUAAGUGUCCACAUGUCUAGAACCUGGAACAAAGCUGCAUAUAAAAGCAGAUGGAACACAGCAGCAGGGCUAUGUCUCACGUUGUCGUUUCCUGAAGCUGAUGUACAUGAGACACUUCAUUCUAGUUCUGUGGUUUCUGCAAGGAACUGGUGGGCCAACCAUUCCUAAGGAAUAUGGUGUUGACAAGCUGAAGACAGGCUGCACCAUCACGCGGCUACAGCUGUUGUUCUGAAUUUCAAAUCUGGUGGCUUCAUUGUUGUUUUCCCAAAAGUUUCAUGAAUUAUGUCACCAAAAAACUCACUGAUUUAUGGAGUAAAGUUGAAGCAAUAUCUAGUUGGUGUGUUUUCAAAGAGAAUAAAUGGAUUUCUGCUUGCACUUCUAUUCCCAGAGCUGAGUAUUUGAGUGUUUGUUCUAGGAUCUGGUAUCACACAGCCUUAUCUCUAUCCCCACUGGGGUGAGGCCCCCCAAGGAAGUUUAGGCUGGAACUUGAGACCACUUAUCACCAAAUUAAUAAAAUAGAUUCAUUUGGAAUCAGCUGACUCAAAGCAGGAAGACUUGGACCCAAUUCAAACAUCUAGACCAAAACCUACACUCUGUUUGGUUAAGAUCGGAUAGAAAUUCUUCCUCUUCACAUCUCACAUCCAUGGACAUGUCAUGGCAGAAGGCUCCAUCGUCCUCAGAGCCCAGCCAGGGAAGGUGAGCAGGAGGCAGCACAUGGCUGCCCACCUCUGUAGAAUUCCAAGGAACAGAAGCUUUUUAAAAAUUCAGAUUCCAAGGCCUCAGCCUGGGCCUCCUGACUCCUGGCCAGGGUUUGGAGAUGUAGAAGGAGGUAGAAGGAGGAGAUAGAAGGAGAUGGAGAAGAAGGCAUGAGUCAGUUUCCUCCCACACUCCAGGCCUUUCCCAGGGGUUGGGGAAGCCCUUGGGAAGCUCUCCUCUUUUGCUGCAGAGAUAGAGAAAGAGCGUGGCUCUGAAGUUGUGGCAGUGUCCCUCAGAGACUGGUCACUCACUACUACAGACCACAGGCAGGCCAGUGCUCCCUCUGGGCCUCAGUGUACUCUUCUGUAAAAUGGGAAGAUCAUACUGGGUGACCUCAUCCCUAACACCUCGUCUCUAGCUCUCAACUUCUACCACUCCGCGAAGUCGUGUGGGCUGGAAGUCAGAGCGGCUUCCUCAAAGAGGCGGAAGAGGACCCAUCACAUGAAGGGGCUGGUUUGGCGAGGCAGAGGUGGGAAGGAACGGGGGUAAAAACCCUCCCACCUGGGUGAGCGUGUCCAUCGGAGCAGUGGUUCUCAAAUGAGAAGCCCUUCCCCAUGAGCGAAUCACAAAGUUAUUUUAGGUAGGUCAUACGAAAUAGAAAGAGAUACGAAACGUAGAACAGACAAUAACUCAGUGCCUGGCAAACAGUGAGCACUAUGCAAACACGAGUUAUUAUUUCUAUCGUGAGUCAUGGUCCAAAAGUUUGAAAUACACUAACUUUCUGUGGCUCACUGUCUCUAUUUCGUCACCAGCAUGUGACCUCCAUGAGUGAGGGAUUUUUGACAGUUCUGUUCACUCUUAAAGCCCCGUGUCUAAAACAGUGCCCGGCACAAAGUAAAGGCUCAGUAAGUAUUUACUGGAUGAAUAAAUCGGUAUCAUUCCAUGCAAUUGUUGUCACAUACAUAUAUUCCCUCUUGGGCUAGACCGCCUGGGUCUGAGUCUGGCAGAUGAAUUCUGUGCUCCCCAGCCCGGCAAACCUCCCUGGGACACGGGGACGUCACAGCUCCUCUUCUCGGUGCUGUUGAAAAGAGUGUAUGCGGAGCUCCAGGGAUGGCGGCAGGCAGCCUCCGCCCCGCACAAGGGUGCUGGGAGACAUCUGUCCCUCCCCACCUGCCCCUGUUCCCAGCUGCCCCCCACAUCUCAACCCCACAGUUCCCUUUCCUGGCAGGAUCACUGCUCGGCAUCCCUCUCCUGGCAGCGACAAAAAUGGCCCUCUUCACCCCGACAGCCUCUUCUCCUCGUCUGUGGCCUGCUUGAGCCAGGAUGGGACUCAUUUCCUUCUCAGGUGAAGACGUUGUUAGUGGAGAAAAUGAAUCUUGGGCUAAUGAGCUGAUCAGAACCUUGAGCUGCAAGAGGGCUCCGGCUCUCUUCAACUCCUGGCCCAGUGGUCCUCAGAGCGUGGUUCCCGGACCAGCAGCGUCCUUGUCAACCUAGGAACUUGCUAGAAAAGCACAUUCAUGAACCCGCCUCAGACCUACUGAACGGAAAACUCGGCGGUGGGGCCCAGCCUCCAGGUGACCCCAGAGCUUGCUCAAGUUUGAGAACCACCAGCCUAACUAUUGUUGAGGAGGGAGGAAGCGGUGGUGGCCCCACUUGGAAGUCUGGGCCCUGGCAGCAUCAGGACUGACUCGUGGGGGAGGCGCUGGGAAGGGAAAGGCGGUGGCUGCCGUUUUCAGAUGCCUGCCUCCCUUCCCAACCUCGUCAUCCUCACAAGGGGAGGUGGCUGCCAAGUCACCUAAAUGCUGAGGGCGGCAGGUAGUGGGAGCCGCAUUUCCCAAAACACUGCGGGGGCGGGAAAGGCCCCACCUAGGAGAUCAGAGCUCUUCCCAAACACCAACGGCAACCCCAGCUCAUCGGAGCCACCAGGAAUAAUUCUUGCCAUUAGCCCCAGAGUCUGCCGCUCCCUCAGGGUCCCUCUCCCGGCAUCUGGGGGCUGGAUUUUCACACACACAGUGUGUAUGGUCCCGGAACACAGACGGGUGCUGUCCUCAGAUCGGGGGCUAGCAGGGUCUGGAGGAGCCCUCCUCAACAGAUGAGUCCCUGUGACAUGACUUUCCAGAGCCAGACCUCCCGGCCUGAUCAGUGCUCGCCCCUACUUGCGGUGUGUGAGCUGACACGAUUUACCCUGAUGGGCAGCUGUUUAUUUUUACAAUUUAUGGUGAACCAUGUUAGAAGUUUUCCAUUUCUUCUAGUCUUAGAAAGUUUCUUUUAAAAAUAAAUGUAAGGCCGGGCGCGGUGGUUCACAGUUGUAAUCCCAGCACUUU
rnacentral:lncRNA from 10 species